GGCUUUGUGCUGUUUAGAGCUUUUAGGGUUGCUUGGUACCCUCCCCUAGUGUUCUGUGAUAGUCCUGUGUUAAGUGUUGUUUAACUGUGAACCCCGUUGGUUAUGCAUUGGCAUUGUUACAUCUUGUUUCUUUUGGAGUGAGUUGAAUUUGAAGUAUACUGUUAUUGUUGUUGCUUCCUUUUGUGUUGCUAUUGAGUCAUCUUGGUACUAAAGUAAUUUCUAUUUGAUGUACCUUAGUACGUGGGUAUAACUAUUUAAAUUAUUUUGCCGCUUGGGUAGCGUAACUUGGAGCACUAAAGUUUAGUCGACUACUGUAAGGCAAGUUUUUGGUGCUUGGUAUUUUCUGCUGCCAUUUAAUUUUCAAGAGGUGAUUGCAUUUGGGCGGGUGAUUAACUGUUUUGAGUUAUAUGUAGGGCAGGUUAGGUUUAAAUUUUAAUUCCAAGUAAGGCCAACUUGGUUUUAAGUAUAAUGUUUGUAAAUCCUCUCCGCUACAUCACUUGUGUAUCGUGGCUGUGUGAUCUGUACGAUCUGGUAAUACCGACGGGUAUUUUGUUAAUUGAAGCUCUCGUGAACUUUCUUUUUGAGGAUUUUGUUGUUCAGAGGUUUGAAUUAAUGUUGAAGACUUUCCGAUUGAAACUGUCAUGAACUGUCUUUUGGUGUACGAAGAUUUUGUUGUUCUGAAGUUUGAAUGGAAGUUAAAGACACUCGGUUGAGUGAGUCUGUAGCCAAUUUGAAGUUAAUACCCCCACUGUAGGUUUGAUUAGCCUUCCACUGUGCUGCAGUGUAGCAAAUAAUCCCUCUCAAGGCUUAGUAUGUUUAUGUUGAUUCGUGUCAUACUCUGAGUUGUAUUUGUGUAUCACUCUUGUUAAAUUGUUUUCUUGUGAUGUUAGUAUGCCUUGCAUUCGAGUAGUCAAACUUUAAAAUUUAUUUGAACUUGUGUAUGUUGUAACAUCUUGGCACUAUUCUACUUUCUUUUGUGUUAGUGUGAGUUUAGUAUGAAGUGAACUUGACGUUUUAAUUUUGCAAUUUUGAUACAAGGCUCUUUCUUUUCUUUACUUUUUGCGCUCUGCCUUCUGCAUUUGAGCUAUCAUUUGGUGAAAUGAGGGCAUCUCUCUUUAAAGGUAGGGGGGGUUGUGACGGUUCGCGUCACUUGGUUUCCCGUUUCGGCACUGGCGCCUGGCGCAUAGGCAACCCAUUGUACGCUUUGCCUCGGAUUGCCGAUGGAUGGCGUUGCCUGUGCGUCAGGGUCGUCUGCUGUUCACCCUUUCCCUUCCCCCUUCCCCUCCUGGGUCCAGCUGGUCGGCCGGCCGGCGCCGGUGUGUCAGAGCUAGCAAGACCACCGGCCCGGGCGUUCCGACCUGGCUCCACCCAACACCAUGCUCCUCCCCGGGCCUACAUACCUUCCUUUGGGUUUUUACGCUGUGGCGUUGUACAGUUUGGAUCCUCAAAUGUAUCGUACUCAAGUUGAGACUUCUACUUCAAGUUCGCUUCAUGUUUGCUACGGUGUACCGUCAUGUUCGUGAGAAAGGUUGUGUGACAUGUUAUUGUGUGUGUGUCGGCAAGUCCGGAUUUCGUGUACUCUAUGUACGUCAGUAACUGUUUUGGCCGCGGGCCUCAUAACCUUGUUCUCUGGAGUGACGAUGAUCGUGUUUUGUGCCUUUGCGCCUUUGCGCUCUUUUUCCCAAGUGAAGUUGAAUAAACUGUGAUAUUAGCUGUAA